rnacentral:rRNA from 1 species
UUUAACUUGAGAGUUUGAUCCUGGCUCAGAACGAACGCUGGCGGCAUGCCUAACACAUGCAAGUCGAACGAAGGCCCAGAGCUUGCUUUGGUGUCCUUAGUGGCGGACGGGUGAGUAACGCGUGGGAACCUACCUUGGAGCGGGGAAUAACCAUUGGAAACGAUGGCUAAUACCGCAUACGCCCUUUGGGGGAAAGGCUUCGGCCACUCCAAGACGGUCCCGCGUCUGAUUAGCUAGUUGGUAGGGUAAUGGCUUACCAAGGCGACGAUCAGUAGCUGGUCUGAGAGGAUGAUCAGCCACA